rnacentral:rRNA from 1 species
AAGCGCUUGUGACCAGACUCGGGCGCGGCGAAUCACCCGGCGUUCUCGCCGGUGCACUUCGCCGGGCCCGGGCCAGCAUCAGUCCGCCGCGGGGGACAAAGGCGGCGGGAACGUGGCUCCCCCGGGAGUGUUACAGCCCGCCGCGCAAUGCCCUGGGGCGGACUGAGGUUCGCGCUCCGCAAGGAUGCUGGCGUAAUGGUCACCAGC